GGGUUGUGAGGUUAAGCGACUAAGCGUACACGGUGGAUGCCUAGGCAGUCAGAGGCGAUGAAGGGCGUGCUAAUCUGCGAUAAGCGUCGGUAAGCUGAUAUGAAGCGUUAUACCCGACGAUACCCGAAUGGGGAAACCCAGUGUGUUUCGACACACUAUCAUGACAUGAAUACAUAGUGUCAUGAGGCGAACCGGGGGAACUGAAACAUCUCAGUACCCCGAGGAAAAGAAAUCAACCGAGAUUCCCCCAGUAGCGGCGAGCGAACGGGGAGGAGCCCAGAACCUGAAUCAGUUUGUGUGUUAGUGGAAGCGUCUGGAAAGUCGCACAGUAAAGGGUGAUAGUCCCGUACACAAAAAUGCACAAGUUGUGAGUUCGAUGAGUAGGGCGGGACACGUGACAUCCUGUCUGAAUAUGGGGGGACCAUCCUCCAAGGCUAAAUACUCCUGACUGACCGAUAGUGAACCAGUACCGUGAGGGAAAGGCGAAAAGAACCCCGGCGAGGGGAGUGAAAUAGAACCUGAAACCGUGUACGUACAAGCAGUGGGAGCCUACUUGUUAGGUGACUGCGUACCUUUUGUAUAAUGGGUCAGCGACUUAUAUUCUGUAGCAAGGUUAACCGUAUAGGGGAGCCGCAGGGAAACCGAGUCUUAACUGGGCGUUAAGUUGCAGGGUAUAGACCCGAAACCCGGUGAUCUAGCCAUGGGCAGGUUGAAGGUUGGGUAACACUAACUGGAGGACCGAACCGACUAAUGUUGAAAAAUUAGCGGAUGACUUGUGGCUGGGGGUGAAAGGCCAAUCAAACCGGGAGAUAGCUGGUUCUCCCCGAAAGCUAUUUAGGUAGCGCCUCGUGAAUUCAUCUUCGGGGGUAGAGCACUGUUUCGGCUAGGGGGUCAUCCCGACUUACCAACCCGAUGCAAACUACGAAUACCGAAGAAUGUUAUCACGGGAGACACACGGCGGGUGCUAACGUUCGUCGUGAAGAGGGAAACAACCCAGACCGCCAGCUAAGGUCCCAAAGUCAUGGUUAAGUGGGAAACGAUGUGGGAAGGCAUAGACAGCCAGGAUGUUGGCUUAGAAGCAGCCAUCAUUUAAAGAAAGCGUAAUAGCUCACUGGUCGAGUCGGCCUGCGCGGAAGAUGUAACGGGGCUAAACCAUGCACCGAAGCUGCGGCAGCGACACGUAGUGUUGUUGGGUAGGGGAGCGUUCUGUAAGCCUGCGAAGGUGGCCUGUGAGGGCUGCUGGAGGUAUCAGAAGUGCGAAUGCUGACAUAAGUAACGAUAAUGCGGGUGAAAAACCCGCACGCCGGAAGACCAAGGGUUCCUGUCCAACGUUAAUCGGGGCAGGGUGAGUCGACCCCUAAGGCGAGGCUGAAAAGCGUAGUCGAUGGGAAACAGGUUAAUAUUCCUGUACUCGGUGUUACUGCGAAGGGGGGACGGAGAAAGCUAGGUUAUCCGGGCGACGGUUGUCCCGGUUUAAGCGUGAAGGUGGGUGACUUUGGUAAAUCCGGGUCAUCGUUAACACUGAGGCGUGAUGACGAGUCACUACGGUGAUGAAGUAACCGAUGCUACGCUUCCAGGAAAAGCCUCUAAGCUCCAGGUAACAUCAAAUCGUACCCCAAACCGACACAGGUGGUCAGGUAGAGAAUACUCAGGCGCUUGAGAGAACUCGGGUGAAGGAACUAGGCAAAAUGGUGCCGUAACUUCGGGAGAAGGCACGCUGAUGGUAGGUGAAGUGACUUGCUCAUGGAGCUGAAAUCAGUCGAAGAUACCAGCUGGCUGCAACUGUUUAAUAAAAACACAGCACUGUGCAAACACGAAAGUGGACGUAUACGGUGUGACGCCUGCCCGGUGCCGGAAGGUUAAUUGAUGGGGUCAGCCGCAAGGCGAAGCUCUUGAUCGAAGCCCCGGUAAACGGCGGCCGUAACUAUAACGGUCCUAAGGUAGCGAAAUUCCUUGUCGGGUAAGUUCCGACCUGCACGAAUGGCGUAAUGAUGGCCAGGCUGUCUCCACCCGAGACUCAGUGAAAUUGAACUCGCUGUGAAGAUGCAGUGUACCCGCGGCAAGACGGAAAGACCCCGUGAACCUUUACUAUAGCUUGACACUGAACCUUGAGCCUUGAUGUGUAGGAUAGGUGGGAGGCUUUGAAGCGUGGACGCCAGUCUGCGUGGAGCCAACCUUGAAAUACCACCCUUUAAUGUUUGAUGUUCUAACGUGGACCCGUAAUCCGGGUUGCGGACAGUGUCUGGUGGGUAGUUUGACUGGGGCGGUCUCCUCCCAAAGCGUAACGGAGGAGCACGAAGGUUAGCUAAUCCUGGUCGGACAUCAGGAGGUUAGUGCAAAGGCAUAAGCUAGCUUGACUGCGAGAGUGACAGCUCGAGCAGGUGCGAAAGCAGGUCUUAGUGAUCCGGUGGUUCUGAAUGGAAGGGCCAUCGCUCAACGGAUAAAAGGUACUCCGGGGAUAACAGGCUGAUACCGCCCAAGAGUUCAUAUCGACGGCGGUGUUUGGCACCUCGAUGUCGGCUCAUCACAUCCUGGGGCUGAAGUAGGUCCCAAGGGUAUGGCUGUUCGCCAUUUAAAGUGGUACGCGAGCUGGGUUUAGAACGUCGUGAGACAGUUCGGUCCCUAUCUGCCGUGGGCGUUGGAAGAUUGAGAGGGGUUGCUCCUAGUACGAGAGGACCGGAGUGAACGCACCACUGGUGUACGGGUUGUGAUGCCAAUUGCAUUGCCCGGUAGCUAAGUGCGGAAGAGAUAACCGCUGAAAGCAUCUAAGCGGGAAACUUGCCUCGAGAUGAGUCUUCCCUGGGCACUAGAUGCCCCUGAAGGGCCGUUGAAGACGACGACGUAGAUAGGCUGGGUGUGUAAGCGUAGCGAUACGUUGAGCUAACCAGUACUAAUGACCCGAGAGGCUUAACCUUACAACACCGAAGGUGUUU
rnacentral:rRNA from 2 species